GUAUUAACACUGAGGUUGAUGUUCGCAGUAACUAACCAUCAGCCUCGCUGUCAAUACGG
rnacentral:pre_miRNA from 1 species